rfam:Merops nubicus contig75403, whole genome shotgun sequence.
GCGUCCUGACCUCAUCCUGACCGUUCCCCUCACCAGAGAUGUGGUGGUGGGGACUGGGGGUGGACGCAGAUCAACUUACCUCUCAUGUUAGGAGGGCUACCAAAAAUACAUGCAAGCCCUUAAAGGCAAGAGUGGACACU